AACGAACGCUGGCGGCAUGCCUAACACAUGCAAGUCGAACGAGACCUUCGGGUCUAGUGGCGCACGGGUGCGUAACGCGUGGGAAUCUGCCCUUGGGUUCGGAAUAACAGUUAGAAAUGACUGCUAAUACCGGAUGAUGACGUAAGUCCAAAGAUUUAUCGCCCAAGGAUGAGCCCGCGUAGGAUUAGCUAGUUGGUAAGGUAAAGGCUUACCAAGGCGACGAUCCUUAGCUGGUCUGAGAGGAUGAUCAGCCACACUGGGACUGAGACACGGCCCAGACUCCUACGGGAGGCAGCAGUGGGGAAUAUUGGACAAUGGGCGAAAGCCUGAUCCAGCAAUGCCGCGUGAGUGAUGAAGGCCUUAGGGUUGUAAAGCUCUUUUACCAGGGAUGAUAAUGACGGUACCUGGAGAAUAAGCUCCGGCUAACUCCGUGCCAGCAGCCGCAGUAAUAC
rnacentral:rRNA from 1 species